rnacentral:rRNA from 1 species
GACGAACGCUGGCGGCGCGCUUAACACAUGCAAGUCGAGCGAGAACCGGCCCUUCGGGGCCGGGGACAGCGGCGAACGGGUGAGUAACACGUGGGUAAUCUGCCCUCGGCACCGGAAUAGCCCGGGGAAACCCGGAUUAAUGCCGGAUGGCCUCUCGAGCCCUCGGGCUCGUGAGAAAAGGUAGCUUCGGCCUCUGGCCGAGGAGGAGCCCGCGGCGGAUUAGCUUGUUGGGGAGGUAACGGCUCACCAAGGCGACGAUCCGUAGCUGGUCUGAGAGGACGAUCAGCCACACUGGGACUGAGACACGGCCCAGACGCCUACGGGAGGCAGCAGUGGGGAAUCUUGCGCAAUGGGCGAAAGCCUGACGCAGCGACGCCGCGUGCGGGAAGAAGGCCUUCGGGUUGUAAACCGCUUUCAGGAGGGACGAAGCCACUCGGGUUAAUAGCCCAGAGGGUGACGGUACCUCCAGAAGAAGCCCCGGCUAACUACGUGCCAGCAGCCGCCGCGGUAA